rfam:Beta vulgaris subsp. vulgaris contig125825.1, whole genome shotgun sequence.
GGGUCGAUGCUCGAGUGGUUAAUGGGGGCGGAUUGUAAAUCCGUUGGCGUGAGCCUACGCUGGUUCAAAUCCAGCUCGGCCCA